rnacentral:rRNA from 1 species
UACGUAGGGAGCGAGCGUUGUCCGGAUUCAUUGGGCGUAAAGAGCUCGUAGGCGGCUUGAUAAGUCGGAUGUGAAACCUCCAGGCUCAACCUGGAGUCGCCAUCCGAUACUGUCAUGGGCUAGAGUCCGGUAGGGGCCCACGGAACUCCUGGUGUAGCGGUGAAAUGCGCAGAUAUCAGGAGGAACACCGAUGGCGAAGGCAGGUCUCUGGGCCACUGACUGACGCUGAGAAGCGAAAGCGUGGGGAGCGAACAGG